AGUGAACGCUGGCGGUAUGCCUAACACAUGCAAGUCGAACGGCAGCACAGUAAGAGCUUUCUCUUACGGGCGGCGCGUUGCGGACCGCUGAGGAAUACAUCGCAUUCUACUUUGUCGUGGGGGAUAACGUAGGGAAACUUACGCUUAUAUCGCAUUCGACCUACGGGUGAGUGCAGGAGAUCUUCGGACUUUGUGCGAUUGAAUGAGCCGAUGUCGGAGUAGCUAGUUGGCGGGGUAAAGGCCCACCAAGGGGUCGAUCCGUAGCUGGUCUGAGAGGAUGAUCAGCCACACGGGAGCUGAGACACGGUCCAGAAUCGUACGAGAGGCAGCAGUGCGGAGUAUAGGAGAAGGGGCGGAAGCGUGAUCAAGCCAUACCGCGUGAGUGAGGAAGGCCUGCGGGUGGUAAAGAGCUUUUGUUGGGAAAGAAGAGUGGCAGGGUAACACCCCGCUGUUAGGAAGGUACCGAAGGAGUAAGAACCGGCAAACUUCGU
rnacentral:rRNA from 1 species